GAUGAACGCUGGCGGCGUGCCUAAUACAUGCAAGUCGAGCGAACGGACGAGAAGCUUGCUUCUCUGAUGUUAGCGGCGGACGGGUGAGUAACACGUGGAUAACCUACCUAUAAGACUGGGAUAACUUCGGGAAACCGUAGCUAAUACCGGAUAAUAUUUUGAACCGCAUGGUUCAAAAGUGAAAGACGGUCUUGCUGUCACUUAUAGAUGGAUCCGCGCUGCAUUAGCUAGUUGGUAAGGUAACGGCUUACCAAGGCAACGAUGCAUAGCCGACCUGAGAGGGUGAUCGGCCACACUGGAACUGAGACACGUUCCAGACUCCUACGGGAGGCAGCAGUAGGGAACCUUCCGCAAUGGGCGAAAGCCUGACGGAGCAACGCCGCGUGAGUGAUGAAGGUCUUCGGAUCGUAAAACUCUGUUAUUAGGGAAGAACAUAUGUGUAAGUAACUGUGCACAUCUUGACGGUACCUAAUCAGAAAGCCACGGCUAACUACGUG
rnacentral:rRNA from 1 species